rnacentral:rRNA from 1 species
GGGAGUAUCGACCCUCUCUGUGCCGAAGCUAACGCUUUAAGUACCCCGCCUGGGGAGUACGGUCGCAAGACUAAAACUCAAAGGAAUUGACGGGGGCCCGCACAAGCAGCGGAGUGUGUGGUUUAAUUCGAUGCUACACGAAGAACCUCACCAAGGCUUGACAUGUUAGAAGUAGUGAACCGAAAGGGAAACG